GAUGAACGCUAGCGGCAGGCUUAAUACAUGCAAGUCGAGGGGCAGCAUGACUGUAGCAAUACAGUUGAUGGCGACCGGCAAACGGGUGCGGAACACGUACAGAACCUUCCUUCGAGCGGGGAAUAGCCCAGAGAAAUUUGGAUUAAUACCCCAUAGUACAACGGAGUGGCAUCACUUUGUUGUUAAAGAUUUAUCACUUGAAGAUGGCUGUGCGGCUGAUUAGGUAGUUGGCGGGGUAACGGCCCACCAAGCCUGCGAUCAGUAACUGGUGUGAGAGCACGACCAGUCACACGGGCACUGAGACACGGGCCCGACUCCUACGGGAGGCAGCAGUAAGGAAUAUUGGUCAAUGGACGAAAGUCUGAACCAGCCAUGCCGCGUGGAGGAUGAAGGUCCUCUGGAUUGUAAACUUCUUUUAUAUGGGGACGAAAAAAGGGUUUUCUUAACUCGUCUGACGGUACCAUAUGAUAAGCCACCGGCUAACUCCGUGCCAGCAG
rnacentral:rRNA from 1 species